GAUGAACGCUGGCGGCGUGCCUAACACAUGCAAGUCGAGCGAACACACGAGAAGAUUUUGCCCUUGACGGUAGCGGGGGACGGGUGAGUAACAAGUAGAUAACCUACUUAUAUGUCUGGGAGGACAUCGGGAAAACGGAGCUGAUACUGGAUAAUACUUCCAACCGCUUAGUUCGAUAGAGAAUGAGGCCUUGCCCAUUUCUAUUAGCCGGUGUCGGGUCGUAUUAGCUAGUUGGUAAGGUAACGGCCUACCAAGGCAACGAUCCGUAGCUGACCUGAGAGGGUGAUCAGCCACACUGGAACUGAGACACGGUCCAGACUCCUACGGGAGGCAGCAGUAGGGAAUAUUGCACAAUGGGCGAAAGCCUGACCGAGCAACGCCGCGUGAGUGAUGAAGGUCUUCGGGUUGUAAAACUCUGUUGUUAGGGAAGAACAGCCGUGUAUUUAACUGUGCCCGUCUUGACGGUACCUAAACAAAAAGCCACGGCUAACUACGUG
rnacentral:rRNA from 1 species